AAUUCUCAGGCAAUACCUACUCCCUGCCAAAGGAGAACCCAGUUACUGAACAUCGGAUCAGACCAUGGAUAGUAAAUUGGAAGUGAAGGUUCAUACCUGGGUCUCAGAAGCACAGUACAGGAAUGCAGACAUCAGUACUACUCAAAGUGUGGUCCCAUAUUGAUCCAUAUUGAUCAACUGUCAUUGGCUGAUGGAGAGUUAUACCAGCCUGAGUACGACAGCAACAUUCCCUCAGGGAUUAAAGAAAACGCUUCAGAAGACUGGAACACUGCUCAGCCUUCCCAAACUUCUUUCACCACUGAUGUUUCUACCUUCGUGAUCUUCCUCCUAUUUUAGUGCCUCUUUUUCUUUACACUUAAAAGUUCACAAAAUCUUUCAACAUUAUUUUUCACUAUAAAAGUUUGAAGUUCUCUGUGAAAUGCCUACUAUGUAAGAAUUAAGAUAGAUUUUAAAGAUUGUUAGUCUCGAAACUGCAUGCUCAUCAGUUAGUGCAUGAUAUUAAAUUAUGCUUUUUUCCUCCUUUUAAAUAUACCAACAUUAUAUUGCUGA